rnacentral:lncRNA from 10 species
GAAGCUCAGAGCUAGAUUCACGGCUCCAGCUUCUGUUAGAUUCCCCGUGCCCACCAUGGGGCUGGAAUCCUGUAGGUGCUCAAUUAUUGUGUGUUGACUGAGUGAGCAGGAGGGAGGGGCUCAGGCCCAGCUCACCCACCCUCGCCCCAGACCUCUCACCGUGACGCUGGAGUCAUCCAUGGCCUUGACAAAGGUGUGGAGAGGGACUGUUGUGCCAGGAUUGCACUGGUGACCCCGGAUC